rnacentral:rRNA from 1 species
UACAGAGGUCUCAAGCGUUGUUCGGAUUCAUUGGGCGUAAAGGGUGCGUAGGCGGCGCGGUAAGUCGGGUGUGAAAUCUUGGAGCUUAACUCCGAAACUGCAUUCGAUACUGCCGUGCUUGAGGACUGGAGAGGAGACUGGAAUUUACGGUGUAGCGGUGAAAUGCGUAGAUAUCAGGAGGAACACCGGUGGCGAAGGCGGCUCUCUGGACCUGUCCUGACGCUCAGGCGCGAAAGCUAGGGGAGCGAACAGG